GUCAUGUAAUGUGCCUUUGGCAUUUAGGGUGCUUGUACCAGGAACGAUAAACCCACAAUAGGAAGUGAAGUCACUCCAUUGAACCUGCGCCGAGAGCCCUUUAUGUGAUGUCCUGAGGGAAACGAUGCCAGAGAUAAGGAGAGUGGGAUGCAGCCUCUGGAACCGGCUGUGAAAUUAACAGGACAGAUGUUAUUUCAGCCCACUGCUUAAACCGGUGUGAAAAACCGAUGGUGACAGUGAUAACAAAGCAGCAAAUAGACACAUGGAGGCAGAAUCUACGCAGCAGGAGUCAAACAAGGAGACGAAGAGGGAAAGCGUGAGGGAGACUCGCCAUCUGGAUGUUUCUUGAGCUCAGCCUCGGGCGAGAUUGGCCAGACCCCGUUGUUUAAAGCUGAUUAUAGUCGGCCAGAUGGACGCCCCGUGCCCACGCCUAGUCUGUGUGCGCUGCAGCUCCUCCCCCAGCGACUGAUGCACAUCUGUAUGAGCGGCUGACAAAGAGAUCCAAAGUGGGUCACAAAGACACACAAAUGAACCUGUGGUCACAAGGCAGUGCCCCAGUUGCCGCCCCGGUUCUGGCCCUGCUCCCCGGACGGCUCCUUUGACCCAGGAGGCUUUCCACGAAUCUGCUGAGUGAUCGCGGUGGUCAAUUAACACUGUGUGAAUUGCUCCCGGUGAAGAGAACGGUCUCAUCCGUAACACCAAGAAACCGAAGCCGCGGGUUCACCCGGAGUUCUGCUAUAAUAACUCCACAGACCUGGUACAAUGAAAAGUGGGUUGUGGGCCAAAAACUAUAAUAGCGGCUAUUGUGCUGGCAGUCACAUGGUCGCUCAAGUGCAAUAUUCAGGAAGGCCAUUUCAUUACAUCCAAUAGAGCCUCAAUCAUGUGUAAAAUUUGCAGUUUGAAUGGACUUGCUAUCAUAUCAAUCAACAGAGGCUGCAGUGAGGCCUAAUGGGGGCCAUCUCUUCCUGCCGACCUGCCGAUGCUUUUGUUCCUGUUACAGUAUCAGAGUUUGAUUUCAUUUAGCAUCCUUUAAUCAAGACAGGCCUAUCAGGCGUUUCUGUAUCAAUAGAGCUCCUGGAGGUUACAGACAGACAGACGUUGUUCUGUCAGAGGACGAAAAUGAAAAGGCAGAGGUUUAGGAUAAAAUACAGCAGUGAGUCAUGAAGGGGCGACACUGAAGUGAAACUAAACUAUGAAGCAGUUAUAACGACAGUCUGUGGUUAAUUAAACAGUAGCGUACGUAAGUUCACUUCAGUUGUUCCUCAAAAUCAUUCAUGCUUCUGUACAGAAAGUGAAAUUAUGAUCAAGGGGGAAAUUUGGCUUUCGCCACUUCCUGUUUGAUGCCUAAAAGUAUGCGUGUGCGCGUGUGCGUGCGCGCGUGUGUGUGUGUGUGCGUGCAUGUGUGUGUGUGUGUGUGUGUGUGCGUGCGUGCGUGCGUGCGUGCGUGCGUGCGUGCGUGCGUGCGUGCGUGUGUGUGUGUGUGUGUGUGUGUGUGUAGCAAACAGAGGCCUUUGCAUGUGCCUCCUUCCUACUGUACAUGACGCUGCAGUGAUGGUGAUGGGUGCUGACUCUGAGGUUUCACAGGGAGGAGAGGAAGCUCCAGAAGGGAUGUGAUGCAGUCACCAUCAUAAUCACAGCGAUGAUUCACAAAGACCAUUUCAAAGAAAUCGAGAAGCGUUACAUCAUUACUUGGAUAUCAAUUUAAUAGAAAUGAGUUUUCGCUUGUCUUUGUCCACGAGUGAAUCAGACUAACAACACUGUAGCAACUACUAUUAGUCUGUGCAUCAUUUGUAUAAAGCUCUACAGUAUAAACCAUCAGCUGUAGUUUGGCAUUUUGACACUUCUUUAAUCUGCCAAUUAUACAACGCAAAAGGGCUAAAGAUUUUAAAUGAAUAAUAAUAACUAGGCUAAUUUUUUAAUUAAACCAACAGCCUCUGCUUUCCAGCUCCAAAUGUUCAUUAUGGCGAAAUGACAUCAUCUGUGGUCACACUUUUGGGCGUGUGUUGAGGGUUUGGACACAUUUACUGAGUUUACAGAUGUUGUGUUGAAAAUAGGUGGUCAGUACCCCCACAAAACCCUUAAUUUGCACUUUGUCUGCCUUGUUUUUUAUUACGCUGCAAACAAUUAUGCAUACAAGGAACAUCCUAUAAACGACACUAUUAUAAACAUUUUAUGACUGCAGACAAUGUUUUCCCCAGCACAGGGACAUCAUAGGAAGUAAACGCAUGACCUCAUCACCCAUAUAUUAUAUCUGGAGGUAAAAUAUACACGCUGCAAGGUGCUUGGCACAAAGUCCGCGCACCAUGUGUCAUUUUCCCCAACAUGUUGUGUAGCGUGUUCAGUUCUAGUGCAGCUUUGCAGAACGUAGCUGUGGCUUUUGGUCUCUAGUAAAAUGUUUUUUUUUUUUGUCUAGACACCGCUCCAAAAUAGAAAUGCUGAGUGUUAACUCAGUUUUCCCCACAGGAUGAGUGUUUCAUUCUGAGGAGCGAAAAGGGUCCCUUUAUUGCAUUAUCCAACGUUCAGCAGACGUGAUAGAGGAGCGUUGAUGUGACUGGUGAGAUAACAUUUGUAUCUGAUGGAGAUUUGAGGCAUGAGAGUGAACCCAGACACCUAGUCACUGUACAGGCCUUGGCUUUUAUUUCUCAGUCAAAUGUGGUUAAAAUGUGCAGUUUGUACUUUCUCGCCGAUCUUUGCCCAGUUUUGUCUGGAAGGUGCUCGCACACGGGGCCCCGUGACUCAGGGCCCAGGAAUCUCCCCCUUCUCCGCUAAUGCACAGUGACAAACAGUGAGGAUGGAUCGAGGCCUCCAAAUAUUUUCAACAGGCUUCAUAGAACAAUCAAUUUAUCACAGGCGCCGGGUCGCGGCGCUGCCAAGGCUUUUAACUGCAGCACAAGACGUGGUCCGCGCUGGAGACUGAUGGUCCAGACGAGGCUCUAUUGUGAGCGACCCCGCUCGGCGCUUUGCAGACGGUGCCGCUCGGCCCUUUAGCCGGGUCGACGGGCUGAGCG